UAAGAUCAUAUUCUACUGCUUGAAACAGGGCAGAGCAAACAUUACAUAAUCCCCGCUGAUUGAAGAGCAACGACUAUUUAGUUUUCAAAAUCACUUCCAGAUAACAACUCCCACUUAAAUCAUCUUAAGUAUUUUAAUAUGUCUUAAUCAGAAAUGGCUGAGAUAAAAGUGACACUUUUCUAUUGGGGGGAGUUUUAGUUUGUAGAAAUUAUCUCAGUUAAAUAGUCAUAAAAGCUACAGUCUGAAAAUAAACAGCCUACCAACAGUCUUAAGUAUACAUGGUGCAGAUUUGUGACACAAUACACAGUCCUCUUCCCCUUGCAGUUAGGCAGAGUAUGUACUUAGGUCUGGUUGAUGGGUUAGGAGUAAAAAAAUUUACUUUUCCAGGAAAGUUCUUUAGCAUUCUCUCCCCCUAUGGCAGCAAUCAUAGCGCAGAUUUCAUGUUGAAGCCAUAGAGCCCUGAGAUGGAAAUAGCUAGAUUCCUGGGUGACCUCAUGGAGGUCAGUUGUCCUGGAAGGCAAUCAGACUUACAGUAGACUUUGCACAGAUGAAAAAUAAAAUCUUGCUGUAUCAAGCCACUGAAGUUUAGGCACUGUUUGUUAUUGCACCACACCAUAACCUAGCCUAGCCUGACAAAUACAGUAUGUACUAGAGAAAAAUGCUUAAUAAUGCCAACAUGCCAACAUCACAAUAACCUCCUUAUACAGGAUUCACCAACAGACAUUCUGUCCAUUUGGGACCUAUCCGCUCUGUUUUUUGCAUGACUUUUUCUGUUUUGUAUCCAUGUAUUAUGGCCAAGCAUUUAAAAUAUGGUUUUUUAUUCUCUUUGUCAUAUCUAAACAAAGUUCAGGUUCAUUUUACAGAUAUUAGAGUUACAAAAAUGUUCAAUCCUUUUGGUCUCUUACCCCUUGAUCCCUAUAUCACUACUAAUCUUUUUUUUUUCUCUGUGCUCAUAUGACCAUCUCUUUCCCCAGCAUAUUCAACAGUUAAGGAUACAGGUUUUAGAAUCAAGCAGACCCAGGUUUAAGGCACUCACUAUUAGCUGUUUCUAUGCUUCAGUUUCCUCAGUGCAGAACAACAAUGACUGGAGAACCAACCUCAUGACUUGCUGUUUUGUUUUGAAGAUUAACCAGACUAUUACACGUAAGGCAUUUAGCCUAACACAGCAUCUGAAUAAAUGUUUCUUCAAGUGAACUAAAGAGGAAGGGAACUAAUAUUUGCUGAGCAGAGCUUGACCCACUUAAAACUCACAGCAACCCUGCAAGGUGUUAUAUUUUGCUUUUAUAGAUUUCUUUCGAGACCCUUCCCAUCACCUAAAGAAUUUCUUUAAUAAUAAAUUAUAAACUUCAAAGUCCUCACUCAGAAGAUCACCAGAAACCAAAGUAUGAGAAAAAUUAACCACGUAUGUGUAGUUGGUCAUAGUGAAUUAUUUCUGAAAUGGCAACACAAACAGCACCUCCAUAUAUGUAUGAAAACUGCAAAUAAAGAGCUGCUAAUUGUGAUUUGAGAUCUCAUCAGACCAAAUCUGGAGAAGCAUAUGAGAAAACCAGUGGCUGGAACCUAAAGAAAAGGAAGGUAUCCUGAUACAUAAAUACCUUUUGCCCUAUAUGUGGUAGUGAAGAAACAGAACUGUCUUAAGAAAUGGUUUAAAUUUCUUAAGCCUCUGCAGGGCCCACCUGAAUGGAGGGAAAUAGAACCCUGCAAAGCAAAGAAAGCAAGAUGUUUCUGCUGACAAUGAAAGAGAACAAGUUUCCCAACAACUUAAAAGGGGAUGAAAAGCAAAAUUUUGGAAAAAAACAACAUGGCAAAGGGCAUAUUACCCCGCAAUGGAUACCUAAGGACACAGUGUUCAGAAUUACUAAUAGUGCUAUCUCUAGGAACAAUUCAGGAAGCCAAAUUCAGGAAGUAUGAGAAUCUGAUAGGCAAAAAUUGUGAGAAGCCAAUUCAGGAAGUGUGAGAAUCUGAUAUGCAAAAACUGAGGCACCCUAUGGAACAUUUCUUAGAGACUAGGAUUCUUGGGGCAAAGGUAUUCCAGAGCAUAAGGCUGUGGAAGCAGCCAACUAAAGCACAGAGAAAAGAAGUGUAAGACCCUGCAGAGGAUGAAGAACACAGAGGAAAUAUCAGUGUAUGUGGAGAAGCCAGACCUUUCUUUGACAAUGCCCAGAGACCUGGUACCUGGUAUACCAUGGUCACAGGAAUUGGUACUUGUGGUCACUAAACAGAAACUCUACUUGAGUCAACAUUGAUUUUUUUGGAACACUAAAGGAAAAUAAAAAUUGAGCGGCUUUAAAUAUGUAAAUUAGUACUCAGAGGAAAUAGAGUGCCUUGGGACUUGAAUGUGGAGGAUAUCACCAUUUUGUAGGAAGAGAGGUUGUCUCAAAGUCCUCUUUUUGAUCAAAGAUGCCAAAAGCACAAGGAAGCUUGUCUUCAUGCAUAUGAAAUGAAUAGGGUCACACUUAACUUAUUGGUGGGCACUUCUCCCAAAUGAAGUUGAAUUUUCAGGUCAUCAACUCCCAGAAGACUAAAACCAACUGACUUAUUGAUCCCAAUACGGCUGAAAGAUUUUUUUUCUAUUACUUUUUUCUUUUUGCUCUUGAUUUUGUUUGGAAAAUGCUCUUGCUGCAAGAAUCACAUUGGCUUUAAAUUGUGUAGCUAUGGGUUUGCUGCUAUAUGUGUUCCAUUACUACUUUGGAACUUUGAAAAAUCAAAAGUGGACAAUGACAGAGUAGAAUUAGUUCACCUCUAGAGAUGCUGAAGGAGUGGCAUCUAUUAUUCUACUGCCACCUAUCUAAUACAUACUGUAAAUGCCAGAGGAACCAGGCAUCUGAAUGGGACUCCUCUUCAUUCAUUCACACAUUCAGCAAGCAUUUAUUGAACACAUUCAAGGUGCCAGGAAUUCUUCUAAAUUCUGGAGAAUAAUGAUGAGCAGAAACACAGUGCUUGGGGAGACUGACAAUAGCUGAAUAAUCACCCAAUGAAUGUAUGCUUUUCAAUAGAAACAGGAGUUCUAAAGGGAAGAAACAUUUGUAAUGUGAGAGCUUUUACCAAAAGAACCUGCAUCGGGGAAGGCUCUCCUGUGAAAAUGCUAUGAACUGCAAUCUACAGGAAGAGUAGAAUUUUAGUAGGGUUAAAGAGAGGAAGAGCUUUUGAGACAAAAACUGCCACAGAAAGGGCCUGAUAUGCUAAGAAUAUGAAUUAAACCAGUGCAGGUGGAAUGCAAAACAUAAGGUUGAGAUGGUAAGAGAUGAAGCUGGAGAGAGAGGCAUGGAUAAAGUCAUGUAGGACCUCAGAGGCCAUAUUAUAGACUUUAGUUUUUAUCUUAAGAGCAUUACAAAGCCACUGGAAAAUUUUAAACAAUGAGGUGAUGGGAACAGAUUUGCUUCUGAAAAGUUUGCUCCAAAAACACAACAGGCUGAAGGUGCAAGAAGUUAAGAAGCUGAAGCAUAAAUUUAAAGUAACUAUUGGAAUAGUACAGAUGAGAGAUGAAAGAAUCUUGAAUUAGGGCAUUAAAUGAAGAUAAAUUGAUGAAUUUUAGACAUUUUAUUAUAAAGAAGUAAUAGUGGACAGGACUUGAUUAUACACUAGAUAUUAGACUAUGGAAAGUAUCCAAGAUUGCUACUUGGUUUCUGACUUAAGUAAUUAAAUGGAUGAGCGCCGGUGUAAUUCACUGAGACAGGGAACACUGUAGGAAGCUUGGAGGGAGGAUCAUAAAUUCAAUCUGAGUUUGAGGAACUUUUGAGAUGUCUAAGUAGAUAUGCCAAGCAAUCACAAUAUAUGAGCCAGCAGCUCAGAUGAGAGGUUUCUGCUUGAGAAAUAAAUUUGCAACAUUUGGUUGUAUUAUUCAUAAGUCAGAAAUCAAGCCAUGGCUAUGAAUGAUACUGAAUAAGGAAAAAUUAUAUAGUGAAAGAAGGGAGCAUAGAACAGAGGCUCAUGGAACUUGAACAUUUAAUGUCUAGAUGGGUAAGGAUGAAUGUUCUUUCAAGGUGGCUGAGAAGGAGGGGCCAGAGAGGGAAGAGAAAAACCAAAGGAAUAUGGGCCCCUAACCUCUUAAUGCUUGGUUUUGAUGGUAUGAAGGUGUUUCAAGUAAAGAGGAUGUUUCUGAUAAAAAGUUGACUCCAAUUUCAAAUGUUUCUGAUGGAUUGUGUGAGAUGAGGAUUGAAAACUGCCCUUUGGAUUUAGUGAUAUGGAAGUCGAUGGUGAUUAGAUAGAGAGGUUUUAAUUUAAGAAGCCAGAAAGGAGUCAGUUGAGAGGUGAGAGGUGACAUAAUUAGACAAUGAAUUUAGACUACUUUUUCAAGAAAUUUUAAUACCAAGGGAAAGGGACAGAUAAUUUGGGAGCUGGAGAGGGUUGUGUGUGUGUAUGCAUGCAUGUGUGCUAAUAGGAAGCUUCUCAUAAUUUCACCUGUCCCCAUGAAAAGAAACUGUUGACUAUACAUAAGAGAGCUAUCUAAGGUUAACUAAGAAUUCUUUCUCUGAUCCAUUUCAGAGGCUUUGAGACAACAGCUGAAUUGCUCAUCUCAUUGUCUUAGAACAUAGAAAGAGCAGAGCUUGUAGAAGUGAACAGUCUCAUGUAUAUGGGCCAGGAGUUACCUCAUAAACUGCUAACCUUCUUUUUAACAGGACAUAGUUUAUUUUGAGCUUGACUAGGGGAAAAAGGGAUUUAGGCAGUGUAUCAAACUGUUCUUGCAUUGCUAUAAAGAAAUACCUGAAAGUGGG
rnacentral:lncRNA from 1 species